AUUGAACGCUGGCGGCAUGCUCUACACAUGCAAGUCGAACGGUAACAGGUUAAGCUGACGAGUGGCGAACGGGUGAGUAAUGCAUCGGAACGUGCCCGAUCGUGGGGGAUAACACUUCGAAAGAAGUGCUAAUACCGCAUACGAUCUGAGGAUGAAAGCGGGGGACCGUAAGGCCUCGCGCGAUCGGAGCGGCCGAUGUCAGAUUAGGUAGUUGGUGGGGUAAAGGCCUACCAAGCCGACGAUCUGUAGCUGGUCUGAGAGGACGACCAGCCACACUGGGACUGAGACACGGCCCAGACUCCUACGGGAGGCAGCAGUGGGGAAUUUUGGACAAUGGGCGCAAGCCUGAUCCAGCAAUGCCGCGUGCAGGAAGAAGGCCUUCGGGUUGUAAACUGCUUUUGUACGGAGCGAAAAGGCUCUCUCUAAUACAGGGGGCUGAUGACGGUACCGUAAGAAUAAGCACCGGCUAACUACGUGCCAGCCGCCGCGGUAA
rnacentral:rRNA from 1 species